GAUGAACGCUGGCGGCGUGCCUAAUACAUGCAAGUCGAGCGAAUGGAUUAAGAGCUUGCUCUUAUGAAGUUAGCGGCGGACGGGUGAGUAACACGUGGGUAACCUGCCCAUAAGACUGGGAUAACUCCGGGAAACCGGGGCUAAUACCGGAUAACAUUUUGAACCGCAUGGUUCGAAAUUGAAAGGCGGCUUCGGCUGUCACUUAUGGAUGGACCCGCGUCGCAUUAGCUAGUUGGUGAGGUAACGGCUCACCAAGGCAACGAUGCGUAGCCGACCGGAGAGGGUGGUCGGCCACACUGGGAGUGAGGCACGGCCCAGACGCCUACGGGAGGCAGCAGUAGGGAAUCUUCCGCAAUGGACGAAAGUCUGACGGAGCAACGCCGCGUGAGUGAUGAAGGCGUUCGGGUCGUAAAACUCUGUUGUUAGGGAAGAACAAGUGCUAGUUGAAUAAGCUGGCACCUUGACGGUACCUAACCAGAAAGCCACGGCUAACUACGUGCCAGCAGCCGCGGUAA
rnacentral:rRNA from 1 species